GAUGAGUUCCAGCUUUGAUAGAAUGGGACCAGGUAUAGGAGCUAUACUGGAAAGGAGCAUCGAUAUGGAUCGAGGAUUUUUAUCGGGUCCAAUGGGAAGCGGAAUGAGAGAGAGAAUAGGCUCCAAAGGCAACCAGAUAUUUGUCAGAAAUGUAAGCAAAUAAAUAUUAAGGAUAAUUGAAAUUCUUUUUUUUCUUGUAUAUAUGUUACUAAUACCUCUUUUCAUUCUAGCUACCUUUUGACUUGACUUGGCAGAAACUAAAAGAGAAAUUCAGUCAGUGUGGUCAUGUAAUGUUUGCAGAAAUAAAAAUGGAGAAUGGAAAGUCAAAAGGCUGUGGAACAGUCAGAUUUGACUCCCCAGAAUCAGCUGAAAAAGCCUGCAGAAUAAUGAAUGGCAUAAAAAUCAGUGGCAGAGAAAUUGAUGUUCGCUUGGAUCGUAAUGCAUAAUUUCAAGCCAUGGUUGGAACAUUCCUACAUCUGUUUUGCUGAAUCUCCUAGUAAAAGUCAUUUUUUUAAAGUAAUAUUGUAUGCUUACAAAAGCUGUAAAAAUGAACUUUUAAAACUCCCACCAGCUUUUAACAGUAUAAUGUUAAAAAUAUACUGUAAUUUUUGUUAAUCUCAAGUUUGGGUUUUUAAAGACAGCAAGUCUGGUCAUUCAGUUUAAAUGAAUGGUUAUACUGUUUUUAAUG
rnacentral:sRNA from 1 species